GGCGUCACGGAGAUCGCGCUAGACCCUGUCUUGUGGUCACGGCUGGAGGAAAAAGCCCGGGCUGAGCGUGAAGGAGACCCGAUGGGGAGCCCGGCCAAAGACAGCGGAGAGGAUGGNNNNNNNNNNNAGAGGACGACGACGGGGAAGCGGAGAGCGAGAAGGGGGCGGGACCUCCAAGUGCGGUGCUCUACUGUCCAGAGGUCAAGGACAUUGCCCACAUGACCCGUUGUACGCUGUAACCAAGGAACCCCAGAGCUAUGGCAGAAAGCAGGUGGGAGCAGCAUCCUCAGGCGUGCUCUGACACAAAAGGUUGAUGUCAAGACUACCUGGAAAUCAAGGCUGAUGCUGGAAUUGGUACGUGCGUGAUGGAGAUGGAGCUCAACAGAAAGGACCCUAGAUG
ensembl:processed_transcript